AGCUACACAUAUUCGCUUUUACCCCUUUCGAUUCAUAUUCUCGUGGUUGCCUGUAUCUCUGCUGGACAAGCCGAUCACUCAAACCGACUCAGGAAACUGCUUUACACACGCCCUCUCUUUCAUCGAGCUUUUUUUUGCUCCGUUGUGUGCGUGUGUGUGUGUGCUACCAGUGAGAAGCGAAGGAAAAAAAAACUAGGAAAAGAAAAGCAAAUCACGCAUUCCGUUUAUGCUGUUCUCGCACCCCCCCUCUUCUCUUCCUCCCCAUUCCUUGACCUGAGCCUCCGUGCUGCUGUGCCUGCUGCUGCUCCUCCCCCUUUCCUCUCGCACGAGUGCAUCAAGUGUUGGAGAGGCGCAGGAACAGCUACGUCUCCUCUUUCCCCAGUCCUAGAAGCCGUCGAACAAGCGCAGUAUCAUUACGCGGCGCACCAUGGGCCUCUUUCUCGGUACUCUCAUCUUUAUCAUUAUCGGCGCUAUCGGUGCGCUGAGCGCCCCGCUCUGGGCGAAAAGCCAGGUCGACCUUGUCCGCGUAUUGUGCGCGGUGGCCACCUUCUGCUGCUGGAUGUCGUGGGUGCUCAUAUACAUGGCGCAGAUGAACCCGCUCCUGCUGCCCACCCGGUCGAUCAAGGUGGAGUGAAAAAAGGGGGAGGUGCCCCUGGUACAAGCUGUAGAGCAGCAGAUAAAGCGCGACGAAGGAAGAGCGUAAAUAACCUAUUUGGUGAUCGCCCUACGCUCCCCCGUGGUGUGUCGUUGCGGUUCCCUCCAGCGCACUCGAGGCCCUUCACGACGGUUUCGGGUUCCCUUUGCCUACUGCUGCUGGCGUGGAGGCGGUGAGUCCGGCGGUGAGGUCGUCCUCCGUCCUCGUCUCCUCUCAUCUCAGUCUUUGCUCAGUUCGAAGGCCCCGUGACCGUGCCGCGUCUCCUGUUGGUGUCUUUGUGUGGCUUUUGACACUGUGGCAGCCGCUGCUGCCGUUGGUGCCCCUCCUCCUCUCCCUCGCGCUUUUCGCAACCACAGGGAGCCGCACCGCCAUCGCUCACCGACGUCUAGUGAAGUGUUGGUCUGUCCUUUCCUUGGCACUCUGUCUCUCUGCGCUGUGUGUGUGUGCAGGCCUGUGCGUGUGCCGUCCUCACGUGUGCAUCCUACGAUGGGACGGAGGUGUGUGCCCGUGUCUGGUAUCGUCAUCACGCAUGCAGGAAAAUCGAGGCAAAAAAGGAGCGCAAGAUACGCUCCCGGGGGAGGGGGAGGGGGGGGAGCGAUGCACACGGCAGAAGUGGAAGCCGCGACGCCUCUUAUUCGUGUGUACAUGUCGAAGGCAUGGCGAUGUGUGAAAGACGGGCCAGAUUCCGGGUGUGCCCCUGAGACAUUCCCGCUCGUUUCAUGCGAAUAGACUAGCUCAGUGAUGAACUUGACUGACGGCAC
rnacentral:misc_RNA from 1 species